rnacentral:tRNA from 2 species
GGAGAGGUGCCGGAGUGGUCGAACGGGCUUGACUCGAAAUCAAGUGUACGGCUUGCCGUACCGUGGGUUCGAAUCCCACCCUCUCCGCCA